rnacentral:lncRNA from 1 species
AUAUUCUUAUAUAGUUAGAAAACCGAAUUAUAGCCAUAUUGGCAUUCUCACUAUAAAUGAAGUGUGAGAGAAAUCCAGAGACCUUUGAAAUGGAAAAGCCUGGGAGACUGCAAAGAUUCCACCAGCAGUAGAGGGGAUGGACUGAAAAGGUUUGGAACCUUGGAAAAGGGAACAACCCAGGAGUCAGUUGGUCAGCUCUCUCUUGACUUGAGACUUCUGGAGGAGAGGUCAAUCUAUAAUUGUAUCCUGAUCCAAGAAAUCUUUCCUUCCCUGAACCUGAUCACAAUCCUCCCAAACCAUUACUGUUGUUGUUUUUGA